rnacentral:rRNA from 1 species
ACAGAGGGUGCAAACGUUGUUCGGAUUUACUGGGCGUAAAGCGCGUGUAGGCGGCUUCGUAAGUUGGAUGUGAAAUCCCACGGCUCAACCGUGGACGUGCAUCCAAAACUACGUCGCUGGAGUCUCGGAGAGGAAGGUGGAAUGCUUGGUGUAGAGGUGAAAUUCGUAGAUAUUCGGAAGAACACCAGUGGCGAAGGCGACUUACUGGACACAUAUUGACGCUGAGGUGCGAAAGCGUGGGGAGCAAACAGGA